rnacentral:rRNA from 1 species
CCUACGGGGGGCUGCAGUGGGGAAUAUUGGACAAUGGGCGAAAGCCUGAUCCAGCCAUGCCGCGUGUGUGAAGAAGGCCUUCGGGUUGUAAAGCACUUUCAGUGGGGAAGAAAGCCUUGGGACUAAUACCCUCGAGGAAGGACAUCACCCACAGAAGAAGCACCGGCUAACUCCGUGCCAGCAGCCGCGGUAAUACGGAGGGUGCGAGCGUUAAUCGGAAUUACUGGGCGUAAAGCGCGCGUAGGCGGUCUGAUAAGCCGGUUGUGAAAGCCCCGGGCUCAACCUGGGAACGGCAUCCGGAACUGUCAGGCUAGAGUGCAGGAGAGGAAGGUAGAAUUCCCGGUGUAGCGGUGAAAUGCGUAGAGAUCGGGAGGAAUACCAGUGGCGAAGGCGGCCUUCUGGACUGACACUGACGCUGAGGUGCGAAAGCGUGGGUAGCAAACAGGAUUAGAUACCCGAGUAGUC